rnacentral:rRNA from 1 species
CGGGACGGGUGAGUAAUGUCUGGGAAACUGCCUGAUGGAGGGGGAUAACUACUGGAACGGUAGCUAAUACCGCAUAACGUCGCAAGACCAAAGAGGGGGACCUUCGGGCCUCUUGCCAUCGGAUGUGCCCAGAUGGGAUUAGCUAGUAGGUGGGGUAACGGCUCACCUAGGCGACGAUCCCUAGCUGGUCUGAGAGGAUGACCAGCCACACUGGAACUGAGACACGGUCCAG